GUCAGGGAGAGUAAGAAAGAGGGCCGAAGAGCGAUGGGCAUGGGAACAUGAUGGAAGGCUAGAGAAUUCAGUUCCUCAUCUAAGACUGAAAGAGGCUUUGUUUUGAGUUUUCAUGAUGCCUCCUAUGCCUAUUUGUCUUUGGUGUUCCUUCCUCUUCCUUCUCGAU
rnacentral:pre_miRNA from 1 species